GAGAUAUUUUACACUGAAUACAUAGGUGUUAAAAAGCAAACCCGGGGAAUUGAAACAUCUAAGUACCCGGAGGAAAGGACAUCAAUUGAGACUCCCUUAGUAGCGGCGAGCGAACGGGGACCAGGCCUGGUCUGAAAUAAGGAGAAGUAUCUGGAAAGGUGCGCCAUAGUGGGUGAUAGCCCCGUAUCCGUAAAAUGAAGACCUUUUAGAGUAGGGCGGAACACGUGAAAUUCUGUCUGAACAUGGGGGGACCACCCUCCAAGCCUAAGUACUCCUUACCGACCGAUAGUGAACAAGUACCGUGAGGGAAAGAUGAAAAGCACCCCGACGAGGGGAGUGAAACAGACCCUGAAACCGGAUGCCUACAAGCUGAUGGAGCUCUUCGGAGUGACAUCGUACCUUUUGUAUAAUGGGUCAACGACUUAGUGUUGCAUGCAAGCUUAAGCCGUUAGGUGUAGGCGCAGCGAAAGCGAGUCUGAAUAGGGCGACCGAGUAUGUAGCAUUAGACCCGAAGGCAAGUGAUCUAGAUAUGGGCAGGGUGAAGGUGCAGUAACAUGCACUGGAGGCCCGAACCGUUGAGCGUUGAAAAGCUCUCGGAUGACCUGUGUCUAGGGGUGAAAGGCCAAUCAAACUUGCUGAUAGCUGGUUCUCCGCGAAAUCUAUUUAGGUAGAGCGUCAGAUGAAUACUCCAGGGGGUAGAGCACUGAAUGGGCUAGGGGUCCUCACCGGAUUACCAAACCUUAUCAAACUCCGAAUACCUGGAAGUACUAUCUGGCAGACACACUGCGGGUGCUAACGUCCGUAGUGGAGAGGGAAACAACCCUGAACGCCAAUUAAGGCCCCCAAAUUAUGGCUAAGUGUGAAAGGAUGUGGGAUUGCUCUGACAAUGAGGAGGUUGGCUUAGAAGCAGCCAUCCUUUAAAGAAAGCGUAACAGCUCACUCAUCAAGCGAUCCUGCGCCGAAAAUGUAUCGGGGCUAAAGCCAUAUGCCGAAAUUGCGUGCUUGCUUUGCAAGCGGUAGCGGAGCGUUCCGUAAGCCUGCGAAGGUGACCUGUGAGGGUUGCUGGAGGUAUCGGAAGUGAGAAUGUUGACAUGAGUAGCGAUAAAGCGGGUGAGAGACCCGCUCGCCGAAAGUCCAAGGGUUCCUGCGUAAAGCUAAUCUGCGCAGGGUUAGCCGGCCCCUAAGGCGAGGCCGAAAGGCGUAGUCGAUGGGAACCACGUUAAUAUUCGUGGGCCAAGGAGUGUGUGACGGAUUUCGAAAGUUGUAUCUUCUUAUUGGAUUGAAGAUGCAGCCUGGAAGUCCCAGGAAAUAGCCCUCCUAUUAGACCGUACCCUAAACCAACACAGGUGGACAGGUAGAGAAUACCAAGGCGCUUGAGAGAACUAUGCUGAAGGAACUCGGCAAAUUACCUCCGUAACUUCGGGAGAAGGAGGCCUCAAUCUGGGCAACCAGGCUUGAGGGGCACAGAC
rnacentral:rRNA from 1 species